ensembl:rRNA 5S_rRNA 5S ribosomal RNA
AGCAGUGGUGAUACCACCCUGAGUACACCUGAACACAUCUGAUCUUGUAGGCUAAGCAGGGUCUGGCCUGGUUAGUACUUUGAUUAAGAGAGACUCACAAAGGAAGGGGAAGUUAAAAAGCUUACAGUAC